GUCUGUGAGGGAUCUGCCCUGCUCUGUCUACUUGGUGGGACUGCUGUGUUGAUCCAAGGGGAUCCUGCAUUUGAAGUUGCCUUGGAACUGCCAGAUGAUGUGCAAAUGCCGUGUAGGUUAUUCACCAGGUGGACUGGAGACUAAGCAGCCUCCUCCCACCCACCCAAGGCAGCUUCAGGCCCUCAGGGAAGCUCUCCAAAAGGCUGACGACUGGCCUCCUCCACAGACCGCAGAAGCCCCUCAGACUACCUGGCAGACGGGCGGACUGCAGUUUCGAGAGGAGUGCCACCCACACGUGUGGCACGGGAUCUGAAUUCCUGACUCCACGGGGUGUGAAAGCUUUUCUCUGCCCACCAGGAACAAGUAAUCAACUCUCAUGACAUCGGACAGAGUGUUCAGCACAUACUUAAGGCCUCUCACUGUUGUGGCCUCUCCCGUUGCAGAGCACAGGCUCCGGACGCGC